UCAAUUUCGUCCAAAGACUCCGUUGGCUUAUCUACUAGUUAAUGGCGUCAACCCUGCUCUUUGCAAAACCGAACUUAUCACUUUCAACCAAAGUGUGGCGUUCACUUAUACCAAGGUUCCUAUCUUUAAUAGAUAGUGGGCCGAGGUCCUUUAUCUUCGUCCAUUUUCCAUCUUAAGAACAUAUAAGAUUCGGGUCAACACUUACCCAUUGUGUUGGUUCUUUCUUGUUUUUAAGCCAAUCCAUCCAUUUCUCAUUAAACCGAAGCUCCAUACCUUUCCAUCGUAUUACUUCUUUUCUUAGCUGAAACUAAUUACAUAAACCAAUUCCCUUUAACCUUAAUUGAACCAUAAACAACUUCAUCGAACGAUUAUUUCUCUUUGACUCAAGACGAACGAAACUUCUUCGUUAGACGAUCGGGUAACGAAAGCGACUCAACUCAUUCAACCGAGGCUGGUUCGCAUCAUGUUCCUAAUUAGAUUUGAGAGUAAAUGCAUGUAAUUAUUAUAAUUACAUUUUUUAAUUCUUAGAGAAGGGUGAGAAUUGGUGUAAUUACACCUACAUUCAAUUUUAAAUAUUAUUUUUAUAAAAAUUAUAAAAUUAUAUUAUAAGGAUGAACACAUAUGAGUGUUU
rnacentral:lncRNA from 1 species